rnacentral:sRNA from 1 species
CACAGCACGAGAUGACCCAAUAACCCGAACUCCUUCGUCGAUCGGGUUAUUGGGUCAUCUCGUGCUGUG